GAUGAACGCUGGCGGUAUGCUUAACACAUGCAAGUCGAAAGGUCUCUUCGGAGAUAGUGGCGGACGGGUGAGUAACGCGUGAGAAUCUAGCUUUAGGUUCGGGAUAACUACUGGAAAAGGUAGCUAAUACCGGAUAUGCCGGGAGGUGAAAGGCUUGCUGCCUAGAGAUGAGGUCGCGUCUGAUUAGCUAGGUGGUGGGGUAAGAGCCUACCAAGGCGACGAUCAGUAGCUGGUCUGAGAGGAUGAUCAGCCACACUGGGACUGAGACACGGCCCAGACGCCUACGGGGGGCAGCAGUGGGGAAUUUUCCGCAAUGGGCGAAAGCCUGACGGAGCAAUACCGCGUGAGGGAGGAAGGCUCUUGGGUUGUAAACCUCUUUUCUCAAGGAAUAAAAAAGAAGGUACUUGAGGAAUAAGCAUCGGCUAACUCCGUGCCAGCCGCCGCCGUAAAAC
rnacentral:rRNA from 1 species